ACCGCGCGGCCCACGCCCUGGCCGGCCGGUCUUGAAAGGGAGUGCGCGCCCGCGCCGACUCGCGCAUGCCCGAGUGAGGGGCUCCGCCCUCUCGAACCGCCCCGCCAAACCGGUUCCAGCUGGAACGCAAUGCGUGGUCUGUACGGGAGUUGGAGUGGCCGUCCGUCCCUGCGGGCUCACCCUGGUGGCGACGCCUCGCUGUAGCAGAUGGUGGCAGAGUGUCAUAAGGGGCAGUGUCCUUUUCUUAACUCAGCACAAAAGUACUACAUGGACCAGCUGCAGCUCUGGCCGGAAGCCUGGCGAUCUGGUGGCUCCGGCUUUCCUAGGUGGCAGGAUCAAGAUGUAAAACUCUCAGCUACUUCUGCCACACCAUGCCUACCUGCCUGCUGCCAUGCUCCCCACCAUGAUGAUCUUGAACUAAGCCUCUGAAACUAAGCCAGCCUCCAGUUCCAUGCUUUCCUUUAUAAGAGUCACCUUGAGCCAGAUGGGAAACCAAGAGACUUGAGACAAAAUGAGGUUGUCCUCCCAUCCUUCUGCCACCUCCAUGGGGAAAACAUGGCCUGGCUGGGACACUGGCUCCUGAACAGCCUUUGGGCCCAGGGUAUAGGGCACAUUGGGCAAAGGCGGCUGAUCGGCAAGCUCAUACCUAAGUGUUUGCUGUUGUCCCCCACUGAGAUGGUACACAGUGUAGAGUGUGACUGCAUAACGACCACGAGAUAUCACGUUGGCCCCAGGACCAAGCAGUGAGAGAAAGGGUGAGCAAACUCUUAGAGGAGGAAAAGGAGCCUGGAUUCUGCGUGGGUCAGGACUCCCAGGGAAAUCCACCUAGAGUGACUUCCUGUGUGCAGAUAGACUUGGGCAAGGCCUGGCUCCUUUGGAUAAGAGCUUAAAGAGAAAAUGCAAGAGAAAUAGCCAACCUGUCAGGGACACUCAGGGGAAAUAGGAAGGGCCCAGAAAUGGCUGAGUUGGAAAAUAAAUCUGUCAGCUUU
ensembl:processed_transcript 4930405A21Rik RIKEN cDNA 4930405A21 gene